rnacentral:tRNA from 1 species
GGGCAGGUACCCAAGUGGCCAAAGGGGACUGACUGUAAAUCAGUUGUCGUACGACUUCGGGGGUUCGAAUCCCUCCCUGCCCA